rnacentral:piRNA from 1 species
UACUAAGGAAUCUCAGGGAUAUAUUGGAAUC